AGAAUGAGAAAGCAUAAUGCCAUUAAUGGUGGUAAAUAUGUUUCUGUACAUCUUCGUUUUGAAGAGGUUAGUUUUGAUCAAAUAUGAAUGUCUAUCAGUAUAUAUUAUGAAUAUAGUCGAUAAUUGUUGAAGUCGGGAGAAACAAUGAGAAGCUGCUCAAUGAUGAGUUAUAUAUUGGGCUAAAGCGAAGACGAGCAAUCGGGCAAGAAUAUUCCGAACUCAUACACGAGUUUAUGACUGCAGUCAAGCAAACUUACUGUGAAAAAGUCCUAAUUCAGUUUGAAGACGUUGCGAACCACAAUGCUUUUGAUUUGCUUGAAAAAUGUAGAUCAACACAUCUGGUUUUCAACGGUAGACUGCAGGGAACUGCAUCGGUUGUUCUUGCUGGCUUAGUUACAGCUAUGGCAUUGUAACGGGCAUAUGUCGCCUACAAGAAGUAUCUUUUGUGGUAAGCAAUAAAUUAUCUGCAGAAUUAUGUUUUGUUCUCUCUUACUAAUAAGUUGUUAUUCAAUAUAUAUUUUAUUUGGUGGGCUCACUACUGCUAUUUCAUCGAAAUAAUUGGGUUUCAGAUAUCAAAAGCUCCCUUUGUCCAAUCAACAACUGCUGAAAUUGACAAUUUUUUAA